rnacentral:rRNA from 1 species
GGAGGUAGUGACAAGAAAUAACAACAACGGGCUUUGUCUCGUUGAUUGGAAUGAGCACAAUGUAAAAGUCUUAGCUAGGACCCACUGGAGGGCAAGUCUGGCGCCAGCAGCCGCGGUAAUUCCAGCUCCAGUAGCGUAUAUUAAAGUUGUUGCAAUUAAAAAGCUCGUAGUUGGACCUCCACUCCUCCGGGAGCAGCCUAGCAACUCUGCAUGUCCUUAACCGGAUGGCAGAGACCUGCGGGCCCUUUACCUUGAGAAAACUAGAGUGUUUAAGGCAGGCCACGCCUGAAUACUACAGCUGGGAAUAAUGCAUUACGACUGUCUUGGCGAGGCAGCUCUACACUUUUAAUAGGAACAGUUGGGGGCAUUCGUACUCAGCAGUCAGAGGUGAAAUUCUUGGAUUUGCUGAAGACGGACUAGUGCGAAAGCAUUUGCCAAGGAUGUUUUCAUUAAUCAAGAACGAAAGUUAAGGGAUCAAAGACGAUCAGAUACCGUCCUAGUCUUAACCAUAAACGAUGCCGACUAGGGAUUGGGAGGAGCGUACAAAUCCUCUCAGCACCUUACGAGAAGUCAAAGUCUUUGGGUUCUGGGGGGAGUAUGGUCGCAAGACUGAAACUUAAAGGAAUUGACGGAAGGGCACCACAAGGAGUGGAGCCUGCGGCUUAAUUUGACCCAACACGGGGAAACUUACCAGGUCCAGACAUAGUCAGGAUUGACAGAUUGAGAGCUCUUUCUUGAUCCUAUGGGUGGUGGUGCAUGGCCGUUCCUAGUUGGUGGAGUGAUCUGUCUGGUUAAUUCCGAUAACGAACGAGACCUCAACCUGCUAAAUAGUUCUGCCCUCAGCAGGGUACAACUUCUUAGAGGGACUUCCAAGGUUACUUGGAGGAAGUCUGAGGCAAUAACAGGUCUGUGAUGCCCUUAGAUGUCCUGGGCCGCACGCGCGCUACACUGACGCAGGCAUCCAGUUUCCUUGGCUGACAAGCCUUGGCAACCUCCAAACUGCGUCGUAGUUGGGAUUGACCCUUGCAAUUCUUGGUCAUGAACCAGGAAUUCCUAGUAAGCGCAAGUCAUCAGCUUGCACUGAUUAAGUCCCUGCCCUUUGUACACACCGCCCGUCGCUCCUACCGAUUUCGAGUGAUGAGGUGAAUUUCUCGGACAAUGGAAGUUAAGUGAACCUUAUCACUUAGAGGAAGGA